ensembl:lncRNA
GGGGGGGGGCUUUGUUGUGGAGGUUACCUGCAUUUUUGGUAACGUCACCUGGCUGGUGGAGCAGACUGAGGGACACGCACGCUCUGCCGCUUACGAAACAGACCCCCCAACAGACCCCCACCCCCUCCAAGACAAACCAAGGCCAAACAUAGAAAAAGAAAGGAGUUUCAUAAACAGGGGAAGAAAAGUUUAUGAAUUGGUGAAAACAAACAACAACAUAGGAGAAAUGUGGGGGGGCCGCGUGUCAGCGCAGUGACCACCAACCCCCCUCGAUCCCCCUCAAUCCCCCUCUCCAAGCUUCCCCUGUGCUCUAGUUUGCGGUGUAUUCUAGGCCCGUCUCCAGUCUCUUUAUGUAACAUGCUUUUCAUCCCCGGCCUGACACCUCUCCCCAUCUCACCUCCCUCCCCCCCAUGCUGGCUCUCGGUGGUGUAAACAGCCUCGUUGCGAGUCUCGUCUCCGACACCCACUUGGCAAGACUCACGGGCGCAGGUAUUUAUACCCGUCCCGCUGCCCACCGCUGGUGCAGCUCCCAGGGCGGAUAAAUUAUGAAGAGAGCCGGGAUGAAUAAAAGGACGGUGCCGCCUGAUGCCGGCUCGUGUCG